GAUGAACGCUAGCGGGAGGCUUAAUACAUGCAAGUCGAGGGGUAACGAUGGAGCUUGCUCCAGGCGACGACCGGCGCACGGGUGAGUAACGCGUACACGAUCUACCUUUAGGUCAGGAAUAGCCCUGGGAAACUGGGAGUAAUACCUGAUAGUAUUACCUUUUUUAAAUAUUGGUAAUUAAAGUUCCGACGCCUAAAGAUGAGUGUGCGUCCCAUUAGCUAGUUGGUAAGGUAACGGCUUACCAAGGCGACGAUGGGUAGGGGGCGUGAGAGCGUGAUCCCCCACACGGGUACUGAGACACGGACCCGACUCCUACGGGAGGCAGCAGUAAGGAAUAUUGGACAAUGGGCGCAAGCCUGAUCCAGCCAUCCCGCGUGUAGGAUGACUGCCCUCUGGGUUGUAAACUACUUUUGUAUGGGAAGAAACGCUGAUAUUCAUGUCAGCCUGACGGUACCAUAAGAAUAAGCACCGGCUAACUCCG
rnacentral:rRNA from 1 species